rnacentral:misc_RNA from 1 species
AACCUGCUCGUUGGGUCUUCCACUUCUCGCCCUUUCUCCUCUCACUGCCGUAGGCGACGUCGCACACGCACAUAAAUACAUCUCUGAGGCCCACCAACGCAAUCAUGCUUCUCACAGAGCCGGUGUGCUGAGGAGAUGGAAAAGGCGUGCACCUGCGUGUCGCAUAUUCUCUGCUUCGCGGCGGCGAUAAGGAGGCGUUGCAUGCCCCGCCAAUCGGCAAGGGAGAGGGAGCAGCGGAUGCGCCCAUCGUGUCCACUGUGCCCGCAGCAUCCCCCUACGGCGACGACUGCACCCGACGGGGCAGAGCAGCGCGCAACUCCAACGGCGCAGCCCGAGGCUCUGCUGUCGCAAUGUCCGCCGCUGGCUUGUGCGCGCGUCGCACUCGGAGACAUCGGCGGCCGCGCUGCUCUUUGGGGCUCAGACACCCACCUCACAGCCGCGGUUGCCGCCCUUCUCCAUCAACAAGGUGAAAGACAUCGUUGCCGACGGGUAUGAGGAAACUGGGCGGGGGGAGGGCAGAGGGCGUCCGGCACACGCGAGGCAGCCGCAGCGCUGCAGGUGUGUGUGUGUGUGUGUGCUGUCACCAAGAGUGAUGGCGAGAGGGGCGACGUGAGUGACAGCGGUCCCAUCGGUGGCGGAGAAGAGGACGAGAUGGACAGCUUUUCCAGUAUGGGCGGCAACAGCCGUGGCGGCGCUGACAAGUGCAACGGACGCACGAAUACCCCUCACACUUCUCGCGACGGCAGGCACCCGGCUCGCUUGCGAGCCCCUCCUCCUUCCUUCCCCGCAAGGACCGCAUCUCCAUGUGGGCCCAUGCGCGUGCUACUCUCUGCGGCUUGCUGAUGUGUAUGCGUUGCUGUUGUUGUCGGCGUGCGCCUAUGCACCAGGAAGCACUUGCUUCAGAUGUCCGUGUAGACAGAAAUGGGAGGAGAGGGAAGAGGGGCGCUCAACCGUUGUGGGUCUCAAGCCGCCGUGCUUCUGAUUUUGUAGGCUGUGCGCCUCCACCGGCCCUACAGCCUCCUAGUCCCACUCCGGCUUGCGGUCUUGUACAUCCUGAGCGGAUUCUCUUUUGUUUCUUCGUGGUGGUAGCGGUGUUGGUGGUGAGAGGGAGGAGGGGUAGUUUGCGCUUCCACCGCCGCUCGUCCGUUGUUCAGUGGGGCUGUACCCGCUGUCUCCGCAACUGUGCCUGUGUCUCUCACCAAUCAAUGCACGUGUGUUGGGCGUUGUCUGCCGACCGUACCGGCGCCCGUGCCGGGGGUCUUGGCGCAGAUGCAUGCGUGCACGUAUUAGGUACAUCAAGAGAAGUCGUGAUACGCAAAUUUUGCAUAUGUUAUCGCUCCCUCGCUUCGACUUUUUUGUUCUGCAGUUUACCUGCUCGCCCUCCACCCCCCCCCUCCGGCCCACGCGGUGCUUCUCCCGCUCGCACGCACGCACGCAG